UUCACUGUAUAUUUUUAGCCAUUUUUCUUCCCGUAUUGUCUCCCUGUGGCAAUUGCCUAUUAAUGCUGGUCUGCACCAAGAUUGGACUAAAUGGUGCAUUCUCAGGAGUGAUGAAAACCCCGGAGAUCAAGUGUCAGAGAAGUGUGACUCAAGACACAUCAUUAGUCCUGCAGCGCCCCCUGCUGAUAAGAAUCAUGAAAGUGACGCAAUUCUUAUAGCAGCCUCAGUCCCUCAUCCCAAGAACCUCAUAUUCUACCUACCACAUGAGGCAACCGAAGGGAAAAGACCAGCUCCCUCUCUGGAUCGGCGGCUUGGGCUUGGAGUCGUUUGUCCUUGAGAAAGUUCCUCAACCUCCUGAGGCUUGUGUUCUGAAGCUUAAAUGGAAAUUGUCAUCAGCGCUAUUGAGAGAAUGAAAUCGGAAUGUGUAUGAAAAAGACUUUAUAAAUCAGAACAUUACAUAAAUGGUUAUUUUUCUGCCUGAGAGAGGUAUUUACAAUGUGUUUUUUCUCUUAUAAAAGGAAUGUGAAUUCUUUGUGGACAUUUUGAAAAAUACAUUUAAAUAAAAAAUAAAUAAGAAUCACUCAGAGUUAACUGAUAUGCACAUUUGG